UCUCUCUGUCACUCUGUC
rnacentral:miRNA from 1 species